rnacentral:misc_RNA from 1 species
CACAAAAAAUUCGCUCCUCUGAUAUAUUUCGAUAUAAAUUUAUUUUUGGAUUGUUUUUCAUAAAAAUAACCGAUUCAACUAUUUAAAGUAAUAAUAAUGUUAGAGAAUAGUGUAAAGUGAUAACAGAAAAAAAUUGAAAAAUAUUGGAAAUGGAUUUGGAUGAGAUUUUACCUUCAAUUGGUGAAUUUGGAAAAUACCAGAAAUUAGUUGUGUGGUUUAUUUUGUUGCCCGCUGUGUUUCCAUGUGGAUUUAACGCUUACAGUCAGCUCUUUAUGGCUACGGUGCCGAAUCAUUGGUGCAGAUUACCGAAUGCGUCCGGUGUGGAUUACGAUUUAUUGAAAAAUAUCAGCAUUCCUUUCGAAUCCCAUGCGAACAACAAAUCAAAAUUCAGCCAGUGUCUGAUGUACGAUCUCAAUUACGAUAGCAUAAAUAUCGUAAAUGCGGCAGCUAUCGAUCGGAUCCGCAACGGCAGUACUGUUCUCUGCAAAAAUGGAUGGACUUAUGACGUGGACGACGUGCGACAAUCGGUCGUUAGCGAGUGGAACCUCGUCUGUUCCAAGAACUUUGCUCCCACACUAGCCUUGGUUCUCUUCGGUUUAAGUGGCUUAAUAGGCAAUUGUAUUUUUGGCUACAUCCAAGACGGCUUUGGAAGGAAGCCCGCUUAUUAUAUAUAUUUACUUAUACAGUGUGUUUUCGGUGUUGGUACCAUUCUAGCCGACAAUUUCGUGAUAUGGCUUGUUUUUCGAAUAGGGGUUGGAUUUACCGUGCCGGCCAUAUUAGGCACACCAUAUGUUUUAGCUAUCGAGUUGGUAGGACCUAAAGACAGAACCACAGUUACAAUUCUGAUUAAUAUAGCAUAUUCAGUGUCAUUGGUUCUACUGGCUAUUGUGGUUUGGGUGAUCAGGGACUGGCGAUGGCUAGCUUUGGCUACAACAGCACCCUUUGCAACUUUAUUUUUAACUUGGUGCUUGCUGCCAGAGAGUCCAAGAUGGUUGUUAGCUAGAGGUCGACGCGAGGAGGCAAAAAGAAUACUAACUAAAAUAGCCAGAGUUAAUGGAAAGGCUGUUCCAUUAGAUUUCCUUUCGAAGUCGACUAGAAAACACGCAUCAAAAACACUAGAAGACGAUCAAAAGUAUGGAAUUAGACAUUUAUUUUUGUACCCAAAUCUUCGCUGGAAGACGAUUAUUGUAACAUUUUUAUGGUUUACCAAUACUAGUGUUUAUGUCGGACUAUCAUAUUAUGCACCCACUCUAGGUGGUGACGAGUACUUGAAUUUCUUCCUUGCCGGAGCUGUCGAAUUUCCAACAUAUCUAUUUUUAUGGCCUGCGAUGGAAAAAUUGGGUAGAAGAUGGACUCUUUGCGUUAGUAUGGUAGUCGGAGGAUCAUCAUGUCUGGCCACGUUUUUAGUACAAAAUGAUUACACGACGACCCUGACCCUGUACUGUGUGGGAAAAAUGGGAAUCUCGUCCGCUUUUGUGGUGCUGCCCUUGAUGGCCUCCGAACUCUAUCCGACCGUGGUCAGGGGCCUGGGCAUGUCCUUGAGCUCGGUCGUUGGCAUGCUGGGACCUAUAUUCAUCCCCCUGGUCAAUUAUCUGACAAAAGACUGUAAAUGGUUAGUUAUGCAGCGUGCUGUAGAUCUUGGUCAAAAAUCGGAAGAAAAAAGGGAACAACUCUGCACUGAGGUUACAUCUCCCUCCAUCUUCAGAAUUCAGAAGUAUGCAAAAUGUGGUUCUGAUGACGGGGCAAAGUAUCCAGCUUUUUUAAGAAACUAGUCCACCAUAAAGAAGCCAAAAUAAAUUAAUGCUCACGGUCUACAAGAAGCUUCUCUAGCGGUACAAGAUAGAGAGUGUUGGAGAACAAGAAGAAGAAAAUUGAUUUGGAUGACUCUAUCUAUCCUUGCUUACUUAUAGUAUUCUGCAUGUAGCUGCCGUUGCACCAUCUUAGCAGAUGUUUAAAUUGGGUCGACUGAAACAUAAAUACUGCUCGUAUGUGUGGGUUUUCUAUAUCCAGAAUUGCCAGUAGAUUGGCCACCUCCACAGGAAUUCAUUUUGUGAAUUGAGAUGAUUGAGAAAGGAAUCGAAAUGUCUGCGAUAUAUACGUUUGGCCGAAACGUUGUGUAGAUAUACCCAGAUAUGUGAUACAGUGGUAAGAUCUUCUUAAGAAGAUAAGAAAGGAGAAUACACUAAGAAAAAUGGAAAGAAAUGAAAUUUUCUUUUGGGAAGAUAUCACAGAUAACAAUGUUAUCUGUGAAGAUAUGAACUUGCGUAGAAUUUCAUAAGAGAGCCCAGAGAUAUGGGAGAGCCUCACCGAUUGUACUCUGCUUCUCAUUGAAAGUGUGAAAGCCAGAAAAACGUAAAGUUGGAGCAACAAGAUUGGAAUCCUGUGGAAAAAACAUAUCUGUGAAAUGGUUUCUGCUUUUAAUUGUUGCCUUCAAAUUAUUCCUGCAAAUACCUACCUCUUCAGGAAAGUUACACUUCGUUAGGAAAAUGUAUUAUUGCCAUGAAGAGAUUCAGUGGUAUAAGAAAUAUGCGCAAGUUACUGGAAAUAUGAACAUCUGGUAUACAUCAGAAAGAGAAUUCUAUAGAAAAAUCAACGAGCAAUCCAAGGACUUUUACCAUGUGGGCUGCAUAAUAUCUAACAGUAAAUUUAUAUUUACUUGUGUUAAUUGUAUUUAUAAACUAUUCUUUUUCUAAUAAAUCUUAUUAAAGUUUUAA